GCAGUGAUGGUUCAGUGGUGGAAUUCUCCCCUUCCGUGCAGGAGACCUGGGUUCAGUUCCCAGCCAGUGCA
rnacentral:tRNA from 1 species